GACGAACGCUGGCGGCGCGCCUAACACAUGCAAGUCGAACGAGCGAGAGGAGGUUUACUUUCUCAAGCGAGUGGCGAACGGGUGAGUAACGCGUGAGGAACCUGCCUCAAAGAGGGGGACAACAGUUGGAAACGACUGCUAAUACCGCAUAAGCCCACGACCCGGCAUCGGGUAGAGGGAAAAGGAGCAAUCCGCUUUGAGAUGGCCUCGCGUCCGAUUAGCUAGUUGGUGAGGUAAUGGCCCACCAAGGCGACGAUCGGUAGCCGGACUGAGAGGUUGAACGGCCACAUUGGGACUGAGACACGGCCCAGACUCCUACGGGAGGCAGCAGUGGGGAAUAUUGCACAAUGGGGGAAACCCUGAUGCAGCGACGCCGCGUGGAGGAAGAAGGUCUUCGGAUUGUAAACUCCUGUUGUUGAGGGAGAUAAUGACGGUACUCAACAAGGAAGUGACGGCUAACUACGUG
rnacentral:rRNA from 1 species